GCAUGUUGUUGUUGAAGUGUGGA
rnacentral:piRNA from 1 species